rnacentral:rRNA from 1 species
AUUGAACGCUGGCGGCAUGCUUUGCACAUGCAACUCCAUUGGGAUCAGGGGAGCAAUCCUGGUGGCGAGUGGUCAACGGGUGAGUAAUAUAUCGGAACCUGCCUAUUAGUGGGGGAUAACGCAGCGAAUGUUGCGCUAAUACCGCAUACGCCCUGACGGGGAAAGUGGGAGACCGCAAGGCCUCUCGCUAUUACAGCGGCCGAUAUCUGAUUAGCUAGUUGGUGAGGUAAAGGCUCACCGAGGCUUCGAUCAGUAGCUGGUCUAAGAGGACGAUCAGCCACACUGGGACUGAGACACGGCCCAGACUCCUACGGGAGGCAUUGUGGGGAAUUUUGGACAAUGGGGGCAACCCUGAUCCAGCAAUGCCGCGUGAGUGAAGAAGGCCUUCGGGUUGUAAAGCUCUUUUGUCAGGGAAGAAACAUCAGCUCUAACACGCCUGUGAAUGACGGUACCUGAAUAAUAAGCACCGGCUAACUACUUGCCACUUCCCGCGGUAAUACGUAGGGGGCAAGCGUUAAUCGGAAUUACUGGGCGUAAAGCGUGCGCAGGCGGUUAUAUAAGACAGGUGUGAAAUCCCCGGGCUUAACCUGGGAAUUGCAUCUGUGACUGUAUAGCUAGAGUGUGUCAGACGGGGGUAGAAUUCCACGUGUAACACUGAAAUGCGUAGAUAUGUGGAGGAAUACCAAUGGCCAAGGCAGCCCCCUGGGAUAACACUGACGCUCAUGCACGAAAGCGUGCGGAGCAAACACGAUUAAAUACCCUGGUAGUCCACGCUCUACCCGAUGCUGACUAGUUGCUCUGCAUCUUAUCCUAAUUAAUGUACCUAACCCGUGAUCUCAGUCUACUGGGGAGUACGGUCGC